rnacentral:rRNA from 1 species
UACGAAGGGGGCUAGCGUUGCUCGGAAUCACUGGGCGUAAAGCGCACGUAGGCGGUUUCCUAAGUCGGGGGUGAAAUCCUGGAGCUCAACUCCAGAACUGCCUUCGAUACUGGGAAUCUUGAGUCCGGGAGAGGUGAGUGGAACUGCGAGUGUAGAGGUGAAAUUCGUAGAUAUUCGCAAGAACACCAGUGGCGAAGGCGGCUCACUGGCCCGGUACUGACGCUGAGGUGCGAAAGCGUGGGGAGCAAACAGG